rnacentral:lncRNA from 1 species
GAUUUCCUGAGGGGAUGGCUAAAACACAUUCACUUUUGGUUGUUUUUUCUUUCUUAUUUAUUGCUAGGUCAGUUUGGGCCAGUUUCAGUCACGGAGCAGACGAACACUAGGGCACCGUAAAGAGCAUGUGAAGGAGAAAGAGUCUUCAGCAGCACUGGCUGAGACAGCCUUACACUGACUCAUGGCAUCCCGCUGGCACCCCGUGCCUCCUAGAGAGGAGAAGUUUGUCUCCUGAGUUAUGUGAUGGAGAAGCUGGAGUUCACUCAGGGUUCCAAUACUUGCUGAUCCUGCAAUAUGGCUCUUGGAAAUGGCCUCUGAGAAGAGAGAACUGGAGACCUUGGAUCUGUGCUGACUUUGUGCCUGUGAUAGGUUCCUGUUCAGAGGAAAGGUGUGUGUUUCCAUAUCAAUCAAAGUCUUUCAGCUACUGUUUUGAUACUUCUCAAAUGUUACAAGUACUUUUGUCAUCCUUUUUAUUCAUGGUAAAUUUUCUUCUGCUUGGCACGCCAGGAAUGUAUGUGUAGCUGCAGUGAAAUCGGCUAUAUGAGACCCCUUGGAAUAAGAUUCAAGGUGAUUUUCAUUAUGGGACAAAGGAUUAUGGGGCAAAAAAUGUCUGAUAUUUUUAUUUAGAUUAUUUUUUUCUUAUAUUUUUAUUGUGCCCCGUUUUUGGCAAGAGCCAGAUGUUAGCUUGGGUUUUUUCACCUGAGUUCUUUGACAACUUGUCCUGCACAGUUAGCGAGGAAGAAAAACAUUAGGAUUUUCUGAGAUUGUGAGUAGGACCAAAGUCGGGGUGUCUCUUAUGCCAGACUUCUGUAGAGGCCUCACCAAUGUUUCGUAGCAUUGGGGUGGCGAAAUUGGCUGAUGAAGAAAGUCCUUGAGAACAGGAAGACUAAAGAGCUUGUUCUCCUUCUGUGUGCUUAUUGUGAGAGCUAUGGACAUCAUGACUGGAUAUUAACAUUAUCAUUAAUAUCCAACAAGCAGCAAAGCAUAUAGUAACAGAAAUUCUUUACAUACAGCACAAUGAGAGCCUAUAAGAAAUAAUGAUAGUACUUAACAGCUAAUAUUACAAUUAAUUGUUUGUGUUUGCCUAGCACCUCUGCACCCUGGGGUGGGCCAUGGGUAUGUUUAGUGAGAUGCAAUAACUCCAGGCAAGGAGAUGAUACGGGUUAAGGUCCUGCUGCAUCGACAGCCUCGCCAGGGCACCACUGCACUGUUGGGAAAACAGCGUCUGACCGCCUGUAGCUGCUGUGUCAACACCCACAGGAUAUCUGAGGGAAGGCCUGGCGUUUGAUCGCCGCUCUGAUACCGCCUGGCAAUUUACACAAGCUGGGGACAUGCCUCCAGAGUAUUUUUGGUUGAGCGUUGUCUAAACACAAGAGCUUUUACGGUUCAUUUCCUCAGCUUGUCUUGAAACAAAACCA